GUCUACAAGGACUCCAGAACUCUCCAGGAGUGAUGAAAGAUGGUGUCUUAGCCUGGGUUUCUGCAACAAGCAGAGCCUAGCACAACAUGGUGGUUUACUUUGAAAAGUGAUCCCAAGAAACAGGAGUGAGAGGCUCGGAAGAGUCAAACGGAAAGAGGACAAGCCAACCAAGGCUGUGCCUGGGUGCAUCACGAUUCACCUAAAAAUCACCACUGAAAUCCGCAGCAGGCAAUUGUGCCAGACAACAGGUGAUGACGGGGGCAAACACGACUCAGCUUCUGCCUGCAGCAUCUACAGUCAUGGAAGGAGACCUCCGGUAACCCAUGAAAGUGUGGUGUUUGCUGUGAGAGGGAGCAGACGCUCACUGCCAUAGAUCUCAGAGACCACCAAGGCUGAAUAAGCUGAACAACGCAUGCGGAAAGUCCACAGGCCUGCACACCAAUGGCCACAGCCUGUUCUCUCCCUGCAGGUAGGACACUCAUGCGGUACCACCCUUCCUGAGGACACCUUCCUUCCAUUGCCUGGACAGCAGCAUCCUGCCCUGGGCCACCCUCCAUGUGGAUGCCCUUCCCACUUCCCCAGGGCACUGACUCCAAGCGCAAGGUGCCCUUGCAAUAGACACUCUCCUCACCCCUCUAGUUCUGCCAUCCUGCCCUGGGCCACCUUCUGUGUAGACCCCUCCUCACCCCACUGAGGGUCUGAGUCUCCGUGCCAGGACAUCCUCCCUGGACAGGACCCCCUUCGGACCCUGCUUUGGUCUCCGACACAUGCUGGGCUGCCCCCUCCUAUGUUGGCACCCUCCUCGCUCCACAUGGGCAACCUCACACUGGACCACCGCCCUUGUGUGAGCCUCUAUCUCACCCCGGUGGACUCCACCCUCCUGCUCUGGGCACGCUACUUCCUCCCCACUCAGCUACAGAGGCCUGCCUUGCUCUACCUUACCUAAUGGCUUCUGAACAGAAUUUUCUAGAAGGGAGAGGAAGAAGCAUCGAGCUGGUUCUCUUGGCCUGUUCCUGGAUCCCAUCCUUCUCCUUUGUUCCCGGCUCCUCCAUUCUCUAGGAAUCUCAAUCUCUUCCGGCAUUGCUGAGUUCUCAAGCUCUCUACUUUCCACUGAGCCUGUGAGUCCAGCAGGGACUGGGGUUGGGAUGCAGUUUUCAGAGACCUGUGACUACACCUUUGUUACUGGAUAGACUCCUCAGCCCUGGAUCAGCCACAGCCCUCUCCCAGGAAGCCCCUCAACUCUCUGCUAUUACCCUUCUCCAAGGCCUGAAAACAGGACUCUCUCUUCGAGAAGAUCACAGACCCUUGAGAAGAUACAGAAAUUCUCUGCUCGGCCCAAGUCAAAAUAAAAUGACUGAAUAGGCCAGGGCAGCACAGACGAGAGAGGAGUUUUCUCUGGGGCAGUGGUUCUCCAAGUGUAGUCACUGAGCAAGCAGCAGCAGAGUCAGCUGGGAACUUGUGGGACAUACAGAUCCUGGAGCCCCACCCAGACUACUGAAGCAGAACCUCCUGGGGUGGCGCUGGCAAUCUGUGUUUUAAUAAGCCCUCCUCAUUCUGAUGUCCUCUAAAGUGUGAGAACCACAGCUCCAGAAUACUGCAGGGCAGUGACGGGUGGAGGAGAAGGAGUAGGGCUGACUUCUCAGAAGAGUCCCGAAGACCUUGUCCUUGAGUCUGCAGAGAAGUUCACCAGGCAGACAAAGAAAGAAAGAGCAAGCCCAGGCAUACCCACAAGUACCAUCUGAGCUCUGCAUACCUUCUGAUAUAUGUUUAAUAAUCUUGGAAUAACAAUUGUAUUGAUAUUAUGUUGUUUAGAGUAAGUGGCAAUGUAUUCUUUGAAGAGUUAAAACUGUUUUCUGUGUUUAGAAAAGUUCUCACUUGAACUUAAUUUUGUGUUCUAAAUUUAACUAAGGAUUAUUUUUAUACAAACUUUUGAAAGCUUACUAAAUUUAUCUGAUUAACUUGUUAACAGUAGGUAGUUAGGCAGACAUAAGCAGGGCAGACCCCCACCCCCACCCCAGGAACGUCAGACAACCAUCAGGUGAUGGUCAGGAAGUUGUUCCACUGCUCCCUAAAAUAAUAACUGAUCGCACCCAGCACCAGGGAAAGGCAGUCUCCCAAUAGAUAGAAAACACCUGGCCGGGCACGGUGGCUCACGCCUG
rnacentral:lncRNA from 10 species